rnacentral:lncRNA from 1 species
CAUCCAGGUUUCCAGAACUUUUCUAAUUCCUCAUCUGAUCUGAUCUUCACUGAAGUUUCUCAUCAAGCACACCUGUCUAUCAUUUGUGGGAUCAGCACAAGAGUAUAAAUAGAGGUCGAUUAUACACUAAGCUAAACACUAUGAAAUAAAGUAUGUUCUCUUCUACAUCAAUAAAUAUGUAACCACAAAGACCUGGAAGUCCAGGUUCAAAUUUAAAUUCUCAGACUCUUCGGACUUCUGUGCUAGAACACAGCAGUGUGGGCAGAGCCACUCCUUAGUCCUUGGACUGUCACCUUCUCUUCCCACGCCCAGAUCUGUCCUAAACCACAAAGACUUUGCUUACAGAUGUGUGAGCACCCCAGCCUGCAUAUCCAAAAGCUACACACCCUCUACUCACAAAAAUAGCCAUCCGCUGGUCAUCACUCAUGCCUAGGAGUGCAUACGUUAGUCCAGAGGUUAACCUUUUAAGACAACAGAUAUCAGGCAAAACCAGUGCAAUUCCCUGAAGAAGCCUUGAAGCCAUCUGAGCACAAUAUCUGGGCAUCCUUUGUAACCGGAACAUGUUCUAGAAGGGGUAGUGCAAGAUCCAGGUGGGCAUAUCAUGUAGGUCGACCAACUCUUCAUCCUGUGGACUCUCAAAAACCUAAGACCUCUCUUGCCUGAGACUAUAGACAGUACUGCCAUCAAAUGCUGAGCUCUCUUGGGAAAGUUCUCAGACCCUUGCCACAAAGAGAAACUGUGAUGAUUUGUAAUAUCGUUUGCAUGUAUGUCACCUCUCACUGGACAUAGAGCUGCACCUCAGCUCCUGCGUUCCUCACUACCACAUUCCUGCCAAGACAGAAGAAUCCAAGUCUCUCAAGUACACUCAGCCUCUUUCCCCUAUGGCCACCUGCCAUCCAACACCUUUCCCCACUGGCUCUGGGUUCUGCUGGGAUCUUGGUUACAGGUGCAAAGCCAUAGUGAGGACGAAGAGAGCUGCCGGCCCAACAGUCCCAGACACCCCCACCUGUACCAGAUGUGCCGGCAAAGACUCAGGCAGCUUUUUCCACCACCACAACCAUACAUGUUCUGA